ensembl:lncRNA
GGAAGCAGUUAAGAGUCACAGCACUGGCUGCCAUAAUUGGAGGCACUGAGGCUGGGCAGGAUGUGGGACUUGGCAGAGGAGCCCCUGCUCUCACAACUGCCUCCAGCCUGAGCACCGAGGAGUCUCUAGGAUAAAACACAGAUCAAGACUGUGGAUCAGCAGCAGCAACAGAUUCUCCACUGUCCCCAGCUGCUUCCCCCUGCAUCUCCUGAGUUGCCCCCAUCCUGGGCCCAGGCCCAGCCACCAUGACGGACACACCAGUGGAGGAAUCCCUCUUCCAAAUCAUCCACUGCUACCACGAGUAUGCUGCCCGGGAAGGGGAUGUGGAGACACUGUCGCUGGAGGAGCUGAAAGCUCUGCUCACGGACAACGUGCCCCGCUUCAUGGAGACCUUGGGCCGGAAGGAGCCGUGCUACAUCACACAGUUGUUCCGGGCGGCAGACAAGAACCAGGACAACCAGAUCUGCUUUGAGGAGUUCCUCUACAUCUUGGGCAAGCUGGUGAAGGACUACCACUGGCAGUACCACCGGCAGCUGUGUGCCCACCACUGCAGCCAGCACAGCCUCUACUAGGGGGGCGCCGGGGCCUCCUAGGGAGCCGGUGUGACCCAGCUGCGGGCCGCUGAAGACACAGCGUGUGUGUGCGUGUGUGUGCGCGCGCGGAGUGGACGCUGUGAGGGAAGAGAAUAAAGCAACUUUGUGAAGACUUCUGGGUGCUGCUCAGUUCCUGGUUCCAUGCAUCGGUUCUGGGCCCAGAAAGAAAGGUCUGGUCCUACGUGGAGGAUCAGUCAUUUUGGGUAGUCUGUGCCCCAGGAGCCCCUGUCUGAGCGGGGAGACAGCCCCUGCCCCCGGGAGCCCCUGUCUGAGCGGGGAGACAGCCCUUACCCUCAGCUUUUGGUCUGAAAGGGUGGAGUCUCUUCUCUCGGGGAGUCAGCUCUCUGACAAGGAAGCCAGGCCUCACCAGUGAUGUUUAUCUGGUCACUCAUUCACUACUCACACCUGAUUGGACAGGAGCCACGAGGGCAGAAGUUCUCCCAGCUUCAACAGAGAGCCCCAACAAAGGCGGAGCAGCCGGGACUGGGAAGGGGCCAGAACAGGGUGGGGAAGAUGAUGCUGGUAAUUGACAUGGGUGGCAGGUCCACGGGCAGUCGGUGAGGGAAGAUUGUGAGGUGGGUUUUCCACACAUUGAGUCAGAGAUGGGUCAAACUUAAAGUUGGCAAUGCAGCCUGUCAAUGAGAAGAGUGAUGAGUGGAACAUGGGUGACUAUCGG